rnacentral:rRNA from 2 species
GACGAACGCUGGCGGCGUGCCUAAUACAUGCAAGUCGAACGAACUCUGGUAUUGAUUGGUGCUUGCAUCAUGAUUUACAUUUGAGUGAGUGGCGAACUGGUGAGUAACACGUGGGAAACCUGCCCAGAAGCGGGGGAUAACACCUGGAAACAGAUGCUAAUACCGCAUAACAACUUGGACCGCAUGGUCCGAGUUUGAAAGAUGGCUUCGGCUAUCACUUUUGGAUGGUCCCGCGGCGUAUUAGCUAGAUGGUGGGGUAACGGCUCACCAUGGCAAUGAUACGUAGCCGACCUGAGAGGGUAAUCGGCCACAUUGGGACUGAGACACGGCCCAAACUCCUACGGGAGGCAGCAGUAGGGAAUCUUCCACAAUGGACGAAAGUCUGAUGGAGCAACGCCGCGUGAGUGAAGAAGGGUUUCGGCUCGUAAAACUCUGUUGUUAAAGAAGAACAUAUCUGAGAGUAACUGUUCAGGUAUUGACGGUAUUUAACCAGAAAGCCACGGCUAACUACGUGCCAGCAGCCGCGGUAAUACGUAGGUGGCAAGCGUUGUCCGGAUUUAUUGGGCGUAAAGCGAGCGCAGGCGGUUUUUUAAGUCUGAUGUGAAAGCCUUCGGCUCAACCGAAGAAGUGCAUCGGAAACUGGGAAACUUGAGUGCAGAAGAGGACAGUGGAACUCCAUGUGUAGCGGUGAAAUGCGUAGAUAUAUGGAAGAACACCAGUGGCGAAGGCGGCUGUCUGGUCUGUAACUGACGCUGAGGCUCGAAAGUAUGGGUAGCAAACAGGAUUAGAUACCCUGGUAGUCCAUACCGUAAACGAUGAAUGCUAAGUGUUGGAGGGUUUCCGCCCUUCAGUGCUGCAGCUAACGCAUUAAGCAUUCCGCCUGGGGAGUACGGCCGCAAGGCUGAAACUCAAAGGAAUUGACGGGGGCCCGCACAAGCGGUGGAGCAUGUGGUUUAAUUCGAAGCUACGCGAAGAACCUUACCAGGUCUUGACAUACUAUGCAAAUCUAAGAGAUUAGACGUUCCCUUCGGGGACAUGGAUACAGGUGGUGCAUGGUUGUCGUCAGCUCGUGUCGUGAGAUGUUGGGUUAAGUCCCGCAACGAGCGCAACCCUUAUUAUCAGUUGCCAGCAUUAAGUUGGGCACUCUGGUGAGACUGCCGGUGACAAACCGGAGGAAGGUGGGGAUGACGUCAAAUCAUCAUGCCCCUUAUGACCUGGGCUACACACGUGCUACAAUGGAUGGUACAACGAGUUGCGAACUCGCGAGAGUAAGCUAAUCUCUUAAAGCCAUUCUCAGUUCGGAUUGUAGGCUGCAACUCGCCUACAUGAAGUCGGAAUCGCUAGUAAUCGCGGAUCAGCAUGCCGCGGUGAAUACGUUCCCGGGCCUUGUACACACCGCCCGUCACACCAUGAGAGUUUGUAACACCCAAAGUCGGUGGGGUAACCUUUUAGGGACCAGCCGCCUAAGGUGGGACAGAUGAUUAGGGUG